rnacentral:rRNA from 1 species
GACGAACGCUGGCGGCGUGCUUAACACAUGCAAGUCGAACGGUAAGGCCCCAGCUUGCUGGGGUACACGAGUGGCGAACGGGUGAGUAACACGUGGGUGACCUGCCCCGCACUUCGGGAUAAGCCUGGGAAACUGGGUCUAAUACCGGAUAGGACCGCACCGUGAGGGUGUGGUGGAAAGUUUUUCGGUGUGGGAUGGGCCCGCGGCCUAUCAGCUUGUUGGUGGGGUAAUGGCCUACCAAGGCGGCGACGGGUAGCCGGCCUGAGAGGGUGGACGGCCACAUUGGGACUGAGACACGGCCCAGACUCCUACGGGAGGCAGCAGUGGGGAAUAUUGCACAAUGGGCGGAAGCCUGAUGCAGCGACGCCGCGUGGGGGAUGACGGCCUUCGAGUUGUAAACUCCUUUCACCAUCGACGAAGGUUUUCUGACGGUAGAUGGAGAAGAAGCACCGGCUAACUACGUG